UGAGGAAUAUUGGUCAAUGGGCGAGAGCCUGAACCAGCCAAGUAGCGUGCAGGACGACGGCCCUAUGGGUUGUAAACUGCUUUUGCGCGGGGAUAAAGUGCGCCACGUGUGGCUCAUUGCAGGUACCGCGCGAAUAAGGACCGGCUAAUUCCGUGCCAGCAGCCGCGGUAAUACGGAAGGUCCGGGCGUUAUCCGGAUUCAUUGGGUUUAAAGGGAGCGUAGGCCGGAGAUUAAGCGUGUUGUGAAAUGUAGUGGCUCAACCUCUGCACUGCAGCGCGAACUGGUCUUCUUGAGUACGCACAACGUGGGCGGAAUUCGUGGUGUAGCGGUGAAAUGCUUAGAUAUCACGAAGAACUCCGAUUGCGAAGGCAGCUCACGGGAGCGCAACUGACGCUGAAGCUCGAAAGUGCGGGUAUCGAACAGGAUUAGAUACCCUGGUAGU
rnacentral:rRNA from 1 species